AGAGGAAGCAUCCAAAGGGAUCGCAUUGAUCCUGUUCCGACCGAGGGAUCAAAGAAGACUGGAUCAUGCGAUCCUUUCGGAUACUUCCUC
rfam:Ananas comosus cultivar MD2 ACMD2_Scaffold_452, whole genome shotgun sequence.